rnacentral:rRNA from 1 species
UACGUAGGGUGCGAGCGUUGUCCGGAAUUACUGGGCGUAAAGAGCUCGUAGGUGGUUUGUCGCGUUGUCCGUGAAAACUCACAGCUCAGCUGUGAGCGUGCGGGCGAUACGGGCAGACUGGAGUACUGCAGGGGAGACUGGAAUUCCUGGUGUAGCGGUGGAAUGCGCAGAUAUCAGGAGGAACACCGGUGGCGAAGGCGGGUCUCUGGGCAGUAACUGACGCUGAGGAGCGAAAGCGUGGGGAGCGAACAGG